CAGCGGCUCCUCUCUGAACUGAGGCCUUCGCGCUACGAUAACCACGGGUCUCUUGAAAAAGAAGUUCUAUUCUUCACCACUUAAAUAAGACUCAGAGAAGAACAGAAGCAGAAGAGAAGAGAAACUCCAGAACUUUUCCUGGAACAUAGGAAAGGCUGGAUGCAGUCUCAGGAAAGUGGAAUAUGAUGGCUAUUUCUAACAGAACUUCUGUUUAAAAGAUUGGCUGAAGUAACCUAGAGCUCAGGCAUGAAUGACUUGACUGAUUUUUGUGGAAGUUAGGUACU